rnacentral:hammerhead_ribozyme from 1 species
UUUCAGCUGACGAGUCUUAAGUAGGACGAAACACGUGUCCUGGAC